rnacentral:sRNA from 1 species
UGUGUGUGUGUGUGUGUGUGUGUGUGUGUGUGUGUGUGUGUGUGUUGCAUACCAAAAGUACGUGAAGGGACUGUCAGGCUUCUUCUCGCCCUCGCCCUCCACCUCCACCCUACUGUCCCUUCCCAUCACCGUUUCAGCGAGGCUGGUUGACUGCAGGUUCUUGGCAAUUGCCUGUCUCUUCCAAGCAAGGCUAGGAUUAUGGGCAUGGCCAGUGUUUCUUAAAUCAAGAUGCUGAGAAUUCUAAUUCAGGCCCUCCCGUUUGCACAGUGUGAUAGUUAAUUUCAGUUGUGUCCACUCGAUGAGAUAGAGAACGACUGACGUAAGAGACAGGGCUCUGGGAAUGCCUCGGGGCCGCAGGGGAGGAGUUCCAGGGGAGGCAGGAGAUUACUGUCUUCAUUGAGUUCACUGGAAGUGGGAAACCUGCCCAACUGUGGGCGACACCAUUCCCUGGGCUAGGAACUUGGACUGUAUAUAAAGUCUUGGGUUUUUAAUAUUUAAUUAAUUUUCUAAUACCAUCUCAGCAACACUAAAUAAACGAGUUACUCAUGACUCACAGUGUAAAGUGUAGAAACUCCCUUCCUGUGAGGCCUUUUAGAAACUGCUUCUGUUUCUAAAAUAUUUCAUUCCAACUAAAUUCUGAAGAAAAUGCCCAGAAUCUCCUUCCCAAAGGCAGUCUUCUCUAGAAACACAAUGUGUUUACUCUUCUGGGCUGCAAGUGGCUACUCUUCCCUCUUCCCCUUGCUGCAACAACUUUCCUGCCUCAGUUUACACAGUCUGGAACCUUCCUCACUGCCAUGCGCACAGGCUGUGUCCUAGGUGAUUCUAGACCUAUCAGGUUCACAAUCAGUAUCAACCACAACAGGAGAAGUUAAAAUGUUCUAGAAUAAGCCGCAGAGGACUAGAGGUUCAAAAUAAACAAGCAAAAAGACUUCAGAGCAGGGUGUGGAGGCACAGGCACAGGGCAUGGUGCCUCAUGACUUGGUAGACUGAGGAAGAAGGAGCAGAAGUCGAAGCCCUCUGUGACAUGCAAGUUCGAUGCCAACUUGGGCCACACACACAUUGGUCUCAAUGAACAAACCAUGAGCAGACAGCAUCUCCAGAAGGCUCACACAGGAAGAGACUCCAUACCAGAACAUACGGGAGGGAGGAGCAGGAAGUCCCUGAUUCGAAGGAUGCUCUGAGCCCAGCCUCCUUCUCCAUCCCUUCCUCCACCCGCUCCCUCAACUUCAGGACCUAUGACUGGAGACAGAGACCGUGCUCCAGACUUUGCAAUCAGAGAUGUUUUCACCCAAAGGUAAUGGACAUGCAGGACUUAGAAAGUCAAAGCUGGUCUCGGCUGGGGAGGUAAUCACACAGUCAAACUGGUUCAGCCAGACAGCCUGCCAAUUCUGGGUUUCUGCUCCGGGCUUCUAAAGGUGACCAAGCAAGUCCUCGGAUAAGAAUGCAAGUGAGCAAAAUAACAAAUUCUUCUGAUACGACCUUUUCUUUCUCUGAAACACGAUCUCACUGCCUAGCUCUUGCUAGCGUGAAACUCACUCUGUAGACCAGGCUAGCCUCUAACUCACGGAGAUCCGCCUGCUUCUUCCUCCCAAGCGAUGGGCUUUUGUUAGGAUAUAAUACCUUAGUCCUCAAAGUCUCCAGGAAGACAGACAGCAGAGGCCUGGACCUAGCUGUCCCUGGAGAAGCUGCAGGACAGGUGCAGCUAUAAUGGCCUGUGCAAGAAGGAAGCUUCCUGGAGCACACAUGCGGCCAGAAGCAUCAGAAGGGCCCACUGUGGUCCGGGCCAGCUCCUGUUACAAGUCAGAUGUUGGAGGGAUUUGAGAGAGUCACUUCAUUCCUUCUGACUCUCGUUGGUUCUAUCACACAAGCGGCUUCCAAACCUACCUUUAAGGUUCAGGCACAAAAGCUUCAGGAAGUCAAGCGUCUGUUUUCAAGAUGGGUAUAAAGGACCGUACUAGCUUGCAGAGAAAUGGCUGCACUUUCAUAGACACAGAAGAAGGCUCCUACCCAACAGGUACGGACAACUCCCCCUGCAUGCUGCUCAAAACAGCUAUGAAUGUGGUCCAACACAGAGCUAUACACUUAUUUAAAACAUGAGAGUGUGUGUGUGUGUGUACACACGCACGCAUACACACAUACACACAUGUGUUUCUGUGUGUGAAACUCCAGUUAGAAUUUUUCUUGUGUCACAGCACACAUGAGAAGGUCAGAGGUCAACCUGAGGAGUCAGAUCUCCUUCCACCAUGCAGUCUCAGGGAUGCUUGUCAGACUUGAUGGUGAAGUACCUUACCCACUAAGCCAUCUUACCAGUCCUGACAUCAUUUCCAUUGUGAACUUGGUAGAUGACACUCCACUUUCAGCUUUCCUUUUCCGUCACUGUCUAGUCAGGGGUCAGAUCUCCAAAACGAGCCCUACAAUCAGCCUUCCAGAGUUGGCCUGGAGUGCUCACCCUUCGCUCGCCUCGUUAGAAGAAUCCCAUGCACACGCUGAAGCCAGCUGAGAAUCCCUGCUAAGCUUUCGGGCAGCUGGGAGAAGCAAAGUUGGAUCCCUGCCUAAAUCCCUGGGAGAGCCCACGCUCUGUUGCCAGCACCUUGACUGGAACAUCAAUAUUGGACAUCUGGCCUCGGACCUAGGAAAGAACGUUGGUAUUGUUUUUGACCACCAAAUUGUGGCUUAGGAAACUAAUACCCUCAUUAAUCACUCCCUCUAUUUUUCUCAAAAGCAAUCUACACGAGCCAGUAUUGUCGCCAGCGUGUGAACAAAGAGAGCCGACUCCUGGGUAGAGCAGCACACUCCAAGGCAUAGGCAUGGGACAGAGCCAGGUAUGGACCACAUCCAUGUCACCUUCUAAAAAUGCCUUACUGGCUCCAACGAACCGACACAUGGCUCGUUAGCCUUCAGGAAGAAUCUAGAAAUGCUGCCCCAGUAACAUUCAGCAAGCAGAGGGAGCUCUCGGCCUGUCCAUCGACAGUGACACUGUCACCAUGGCGGCCCUCUACCCUCCAUCCUCUUCAGCAUUGAAGCUGUUACGGCUUUAAUGUAAGACAUCUCAGGUCCACGCGAUGGGACAGUCUCCACCUUGUGGCACUGCUUUGGGAGGUUGUGAACCGUGACAUGAUGGGGUCUGGCCGGAGGAUGUGGGUCACUAAAUAAACAGGCUUUGAGGUUUAACUAGUGGCUCCAAGUCAACUCCUCUGCCCUUGAUUUGCUGAGGUGUGAGCAAGCUCUUCCUGCCACAGAGCUGCCUGCCACCGCGACGCCUCCACCAUGUCUCCUAAAACAAGAUAAGCCUCUUCUAAACUGCUUCAAAGCCCUUGACAACUGCACCAGGCAAAAGAGCUAUGUAAGGAAAAGCCGUAGCUGGCCUUCCCUAAGGCAUCUCUCAUUUCACUGUAACCCCAGAACUGCUGCUAGCAUCCCGAAGUGUGCAUUAUGUGCCUACCCCGGUGGUGCUCCUGACAAGCUGCUACUAGAAACCAGACAUGGAGGAUUAUGGGUAAUGGAGGUUCUCAAUGAACACAUCACUCACCAUUCAAGUCUGAAAUACACCUCCACCUCCACACUUCACUAUAAUACCAACCCAAUUAAUAACGAUCGGUGGGAAUUAUGAAACAUCUGUUGAACAUACUGGUGUGGAGACCAGGAUUCUACUCAGGAAAGGAUGCAGUGACAGCUACCAGAAGGGCACAGUACCCUGUGAAAUAAUCACCGAAGACUUGAAAUGAUACUCAACUUGUGAUGCCUGAUCACGAGGGACAUGCAAAUCAAGCCACAAUGUGAUAUCAUUCCAGUCACUCAGACGGCCAUCAUCAGAGCACAGGGGGCGGGGUGGGGGGGAUGCGUGACAAGGCUGUGGAGAAAUCGGAGCCCUUGUUGGGCAACCUUGGAAACAGCAUGUGGUGUAUCAGGAAAUUCAGUAUAGAAGCCACUGCAAUCCGUCAAUCCCUCAUCUGGGUUAAGACCUGAAGGACGUGAAUGGAUACUUGUGCGCCUGAUUGAUAGAAGCAUUGUUCACAGAAGUCAACAGAUAGAAGGAUGGCUGGGAGAUGCCUCCCUCACACGCUGGGCCACGACUGCUCUUGCAGAGGACAUGGUUUUGGUUCCCAGCACCCACACUGGCCAGCUAACAAACCCCUGUAAGUCUAGCUCCAGGAAAUCCAGUGUUCUCUGCCGGCUUCUGAAGGCACCUACAUUUGUGUGCACAUACUCUCACAUAUAUAAUAAAA